UGUAAUAUGUACCCAGCAAACACCAAAUAUAAAUGCAAUAUAACGUGAGAGUAACAUGUAAUAUAACAGACGUUACACUCUAUUUAUAUUAUAGUUACGAAACUUUACUACAUAUAUGUGAUGUAACAAAGUUAUGAAGCUAUAAUAUUACUUCGUUAUUUGUAUGUUACAAUAACCGGACAGUGAUGUAACCACAAUGUUGCGUGGUUACACAACAAUUGUUUUACUUAUGUUAUAUGGAUAUUAUAAAAUUUGAAUCUUGUGAGACUCUAACCUCAAUCGCACAACGUACAUCUCGUGCAUUAGGCGCGCUUUCCCCUAGUGGAUGCUAUAAUGACGAAAGAGAGACGUUGUUUUCUUGCAACUUGACUUUAAUCAGGAUUCUGUCAAUUAUUCUUACAUCAUUCGGACAACUGUUCUUCUUAAAAUUUAAAAGAACGUAAAGAAUAACUGAAGUUUAUAAAAGCUGAAGAAAUUUUCACAAGGAUUAGAACAGAAAACUGAACUCAAAUGGAAGCGCACUCAUGUCACUAUCAUGUCCUGACAAUUUCGGAUUUUAUAAAACUAUAGGAGACGUGAUUGACGUUGAGAUUGUGAUUGACAGCUGGAGCAAAGCUAUAAUUUAGUUCAACAUUACGUGAAGUUUAUUUAAUGUUUUUCUCUUAUUUUCCCUCGUUUUUUAUGUUUUUAAAAAUUAUUUUUAAAAUAUAUUUACUAAUAAUCAUAAAGUAUAAUAUGUAUACAUUUGUUUAGAUAAGUUUAUUUUGUUGAUAAAUAUAUGUGUUAAAUAUAUUAAGAAGUUUAUUGAAAAGACUAUUUUUAAUGUUAUCUUUUUCCUUUAUAAUUAUAUCUAUCCUUUAUAAUUUUAGCACUUACAAUUUUCAGGAAGUCAAGUUCUUAAAUUAAUUUUACAUAAAACAACGAAAUUGCAUUCAAAAGUAUUUUUUGUUUUAUGUAAACUUAAUUUAAGUACUUAACCUCCUGGGAAUUAUGUGCUGAAAUAUAUACAUGUACAUAUAUAACAACACUGUAAUUAUUUUUUAUAACAGCAAUAUAAUAGUUUAUAUUGCCAUUACAAAACAUCUCGAUUAUAGUUAUAUAACAGUUCAGUUCUACGCUAUAUUUAUGUUAUGUAACUACAACAUCACAUGAGUAGGAAAUUAUAACUAACAGGAAUGUUACAUGUAACGUUCAUGUAAUAUUACCUGUUACAUUCCGUUUUAUUGCAGCAAUGUAAUGGUUAUAUAUUGGUGUUUGCUGGGUAAUAUAUAAUGUAAUAACAUAUAAUUUAAUGAAAAUGUGAUUUGUAAAGAAUUAAUUGUUUAUAUAUUAGAAUAAAUUACUUACACGGUUGAA